CCAAGUAGAUUUGGCUCUAGUUCCUGAUCAACUCCCAAUCCUUACUCUUGUGCUGCUUUUGCUGCUGACUUCUGAGGUAGCUGUCAUGUUCUGUAUCCUGUAACACUUUGUGCCUUCAGUCUGAUGUGUGAAGCAGCAUGCUAAUCCUUGUCCUACUGUGUUCCUUGUGGGAACAUCUUCCACUGCUUCUCAUAUCAGAGGGAACUUCAGUGGACAGCAGAGGAGAGGUUUCUACAAAUCCUACCAAGAUGCGCAGCACAGAAGUCCCUUAGGCUUGUGAAAUUACUUUUGAGUGAGGUUACAGCAUACCUGGCAGGGCCUAGGUAGCAAGGCUGCAGGUGACAGAGCCUGCACUGAAAUGAAGCCUUGAAGGUGACAAGCCAAGGCAGAGACACCCUGGGACGCUGUAAGUGACCUCAGGCAGGGCAAGAACAGAAAGAAUCCUGGAGCAGUGGAUGAAAUAUAGCAAGAAGGAUGAUGGAAAAGCAGAAAGAAAACAAUGUACACAAAACUCCUGCAACUACGCCUCACCUCCUUGGAGAGACUGGGACAGCUUCAAUAUGACCACAGCAAAAUCAGUGCUUGUGAAGACUAGGGAAGUGAAGAUUAUUCUUUUGUAGGAUGCAGGAAGUCAUAAUGGUUUUGCCUGUGACAAUGGGUAAAGAACUUUUUAUUUCAUUUCAGUGUGCAUUGAUGAGACAUCCAUUUCACUUUUUACCUCAUCUUGUUUCCUUAUGCGAAUCCUUAUUUGAACCCAUGCAGCCAUAAAUCUUCCCCAGGUGUGUUUUUGCAAAAGGUUUUUCUUUCUUCAAAUGAUGUAAGUAAAAUGCCCAGUGUGCGCUUUGAUUUGCUGCCUUUUAUGUGGCGAUGAACCAUCAAACCAGCAUGU